CCGCAGUAGUUGAGGAGGAGGGUGAGAUCGACGUCGACGUUGAGGCUGAUGCCCAAGAUGUUGGCCUUGAUGGCGGUGCAGAGGCACAAGGCGGCUUCGAAGUCGGCGAGGCCCUCGAUGAGGCUACAGCAGGGUUUCUUGGGCGGGGUGCCGAUCUGGAGGUUGAUGAGGCCGCCGAGCACGUUGGCGCAGGCGCCCAGCUUGACCGUGUCGAUGGGACAGGAUGGCAUGCCGGGUUUGGGAGUCGGUUUGGGUCUGGGCGAA
rnacentral:lncRNA from 1 species